rnacentral:rRNA from 1 species
CCGGCACGGGUGAGUAACACGUAUGCAAUCCACCUGUAACAGGGGGAUAACCCGGAGAAAUCCGGACUAAUACCCCAUAAUAUGGGCGCUCCGCAUGGAGAGCCCAUUAAAGAGAGCAAUUUUGGUUACAGACGAGCAUGCGCUCCAUUAGCCAGUUGGCGGGGUAACGGCCCACCAAAGCGACGAUGGAUAGGGGUUCUGAGAGGAAGGUCCCCCACACUGGAACUGAGACACGGUCCAA